UGCAAUAUUGUUUGCCAAUAUUGGCCCAAUAUUAUUUUGUUUUCAUUACUCAAAUAUUGGCCAAUAUUGACAUUUUUACAUAUUGGUACGCAUGCGUAACUUUAUCGCUUGUUCAUAAAGAAGCACUGUGAACAUCAAAGGACAAAACUAUAGUUUUGUCCUUUGAUGUUCACAGUACUUCUAAUAAAACAUUUACAGAUUGAAUCACGAGAAGAAGUGGUUGUAAUUUAUUUAAAAACAGAUUGUAUCACGAGAAGAAGUGGUAAAAGUGAAGAAAUCUUUUUAAUUGAAAAUUUAGAGAUUGUAUCACGAGAAGAAGUGGUUGUAAUUUAUUUAAAACAGAUUGAAUCAUGAGAAGAAGUGGUUGUAGUUCAUUUAGAAACAGAUUGUAUCACGAGAAAAAGUGGAAAAAUAUUUCUGCACUAUAAGACAAAGGUUGAAAUAGUAAUGAAAAAAUCAAUAACUUCAACUCGAUCUGCUUAAUCACAUUAUAUUAAAAGACAGUUAUAAAACUGCUGUAGAACGAAUGGAAACAUUAGAGUUCACAUCAAGCGUUGAAACAGCUGCUGAUAGUGAUGAAAAAUUGUCCAUGCCACCAGCUAAAAAGUUAGCAGUUUGCAAAACAAUUGACACUGAGGAGACAUAUCCAUCAGUUUCCCCAAGAUUGAAGAAAUCUUUUAAUUGCCAAAAUAUUUUAAAAUCCACAACUGUUCGAGAUAUUGAGCUAUUUAGUUCGAAUCGUUCUCUACCGAUAUUUUCCUCUUCUGAUCAUACCUGGCAACUGUUUUGGCUGCUUUAGGCACCCGAUUUGCUGGUAAAGAAUUACAUUGAUGGGUUAUUUGUUUGAAUGUUUAAUUAAAUCAUUUGAGAAGAAAAGUUUAGAGCUGCUUGUCAGUAUUCAAUACGAUUUGAAAAAGUUAAACAUUCGCCUAAUCAAUUUAGAAAAAGGUUUAGUGUUUCCUUCUGUUAGCAAUCAGAGCAUAGCUGGACCAUCCCCAUCAGUUAAAUGGAAUUAUUUGCCUGUUAAAGAGGAAAAAGAUUUUCUAGACCUGGAUGAAAAAUUACGAAACACCUAUGGUAUGUAUCAGUGAAUUGAUAUCAGUUAAUAUUUUUUAUAAACAUUUCCAUGUGCAUUUAACAUAUCUAUACUAUAAAAUAUACUAUACAUUUGAUUUUAAUUAAGAUAUAGAAAAGAAUGCUUUAUAUAAAGUAUAUUUAUUAAAUUGUGUUGUGGUUUUAACCAUUUAUGCCCAGUUAGCUCAUUUAGUAGAGCAAUGAGCCUACUAAUCACUUGAAAUUGCAUUCACCCCGAUUUUUUUGCUGUGGUAAAGACAACUUAUGCUAGUGAAUGAAAAAUCUGAUACUAUAGUAUCAGAUUUUUUACACAAUAUAUUGUCUAAUUAUUGGUAGGGGUAUGAGAAGCUCAUAAACCUGUAUGAAAUUUUGUGUAGUAUUCUUCCUAGUGUUUUUAUCACUUUAUAAAACAUUUAUGACAAUAAGUCUUGAUCACCAAAACAGGUUGACCUCAGAGAUUGCAUCGAUUUAUAACAAUUUGCUUUUUCUCCAUGUCAUAUUUGAAUAUCUCAUUAUAAAAAAUGACGGCCAUUGAUAGAGAAGGCAGAAGAAAGAAUAGAACCGCAAUUAAGCAAAGCC